rnacentral:rRNA from 1 species
GAUGGGAAACGGGUUAAUAUUCCCGUACUUGGUGUUACUGCGAAGGGGGGACGGAGAAGGCUAUGUUGGCCGGGCGACGGUUGUCCCGGUUUAAGCGUGUAGGUGUGUGUUCCAGGUAAAUCCGGUUCACUUUAACACUGAGGCGUGACGACGAGGCACUACGGUGCUGAAGCAACAAAUGCCCUGCUUCCAGGAAAAGCCUCUAAGCAUCAGGUAACACGAAAUCGUACCCCAAACCGACACAGGUGGUCAGGUAGAGAAUACCAAGGCGCUUGAGAGAACUCGGGUGAAGGAACUAGGCAAAAUGGUGCCGUAACUUCGGGAGAAGGCACGCUGACACGUAGGUGAAGUGAUUUACUCAUGGAGCUGAAGUCAGUCGAAGAUACCAGCUGGCUGCAACUGUUUAUUAAAAACACAGCACUGUGCAAACACGAAAGUGGACGUAUACGGUGUGACGCCUGCCCGGUGCC